UAUCUCUGUAGAGUCUGCAUAUCAAUAAGCGGAGGAAAAGAAACUAACAAGGAUUCCCUAGUAACGGCGAGUGAAGCGGGAAGAGCUCAAAUUUGAAAUCUUCAAGGUUUGACCUUGACGAAUUGUAGUUUAAAGAAGUGUUUUCGGUUAGAGGAGUAGUAAAAGUUCUUUGGAAUAGGACAUCAUAGAGGGUGAGAAUCCCGUAUUUGACUAUUCUUUCUAGCUUUGUGAUACACUUUCAAAGAGUCGGAUUGUUUGGGAAUGCAGUCCAAAAUGGGUGGUAAAUUUCAUCUAAAGCUAAAUAUUGGCGAGAGACCGAUAGCGAACAAGUACCGUGAGGGAAAGAUGAAAAGAACUUUGAAAAGAGAGUUAAACAGUACGUGAAAUUGUCAAAAGGGAAGCGUUUGACACCAGUGUUGUUUUUCCGAAAAUCAAUUAAAAAUUGAUUCAUGCCAGGUUGUAUUGACCUUAUCAGCUUGCAAUUUGGUUUUGGGUCUCUUUUUGAUGCACUUUUCGGUUAACAAGUCAACAUCAAUUUCCUUUGCUGUAAAAAGGUAAGAGGAAGGUGGCUUCAAUUUCGGUUGAAGUGUUUAUAGCCUUUUAUCUCUGCAGUCGGGGAGAUUGAGGUCUGCAGCGUAGAUCCUUCGGGGCUAGAUACAUUUAUGCUAAGUUAUAGCUUUUCAUAGACAACUUGUUGACUAUGAUUAGUCAUGUAGCUUACUCGUAAGUGCUAUUUUACCUACGCUUAGGAUGUUGAAGACUCUACAGAGAUA
rnacentral:rRNA from 1 species